ACUCGAGUGGCGAACGGGUGAGUAACACGUGGGUGAUCUGCCCUGCACUUCGGGAUAAGCCUGGGAAACUGGGUCUAAUACCGGAUAGGACGAUGGUUUGGAUGCCAUUGUGGGAAGUUUUCGGUGUGGGAUGAGCUCGCGGCCUAUCAGCUUGUUGGUGGGGUAAUGGCCUACCAAGGCGUCGACGGGUAGCCGGCCUGAGAGGGUGUACGGCCACAUUGGGACUGAGAUACGGCCCAG
rnacentral:rRNA from 1 species